rnacentral:tRNA from 1 species
GUGGGUGUAGCUCAGUUGGUUAGAGCGUCGGAUUGUGGUCCCGAAGGUCGUGGGUUCGACUCCCAUCUCCCACCCCA